rnacentral:lncRNA from 1 species
GAGUCUUGAUAUGGUGAUGAAAUAUCAUCAUAGAUCUGUUCUUCGUAACUGCAUGUUCUGUGUAUUUAAAAAAAUGAGGGAGACAAAAAGCAAAGAAGCAAAAACAAGCAUCCGAGAAUCAGUAAAGAAAUUUUAUUGGAGAUACACGAAGACGAGUACGAGUCCAGUAUUACGUAAGAAUAAUACUGACAAUUCGUGAAUACUCAUGCAACUCCUGUGUGGCUGUAUUGAUUUUGCGUGCUUUUCGUUUGAUUCCCGGAGUAUGUACUAAAAAGGCACCAUCGAGCACGACCAGAUGAUAAUUCAAAAGACACAUCUCGAACAUCUAUAUGAAAUAAGAAAUAGAGACUUUAAAAGGACAUUUCCUCUGUGUAGAGCGGGU